rnacentral:snRNA from 1 species
GCGCUCGCCUCAGCAGCACAUAACUAAAAUUGGAACAAUACAGGAAGAGCAUGGCCCCUGCGUAAGGAUGACAUGCAAAUUCAUGAAGCGUUCCAUAUUUUU